CUUGUCUCAAAGCUUAAGCCAUGCAAGUAUCAGUACAAACUGAACUAAAGUGAAACCGCCAAAAGCUCAGUAAAUCAGUUCUCAUUUCACGAGAUAAAGAAUUACAAAAUGAAUAACCACGGUAAUUCUGGAGCUAAUACAUGCAACACAAAAAUAUUUCUCAUGCGAAUGGGAAAAAAAUGCUCUUAUUGUUCCACAAGACCAAUCGCCCAUCAAAGGGCAUCGAUCUACACUCUAAAUAAUUCAAAUAGAUCGGACGAUCUAAUCGGCGCUAUACCUUUUCAAAUGCCUAAUUUAUUAAACUUACGAUGGUACACUUUGUGUCCACCAUGGCCCUCAUGGGUAACGGAGAAUUGGGGUUCCACUCCGGAGAGGGAGCCUGAGAAACGGCUACCACAUCCAAGGAAGGCAGCAGGCACGCAAAUUACCCAAUCCCGGCACGGGGAGGUGGUGACAAUAAAUACCAAUACGGGACUCUUCUGAGGCCCCGUAAUUGGAAUGAGUGCACAUUAAACCCUUGAACAAGGAUCCAUUGGAGGGAAAGUCUGGUGCCAGCAGCCGCGGUAAAUCCAGCUCCAAUAGCGUAUAUUAAAUUUGCUGCGGUUAAAGGGACAGGCGGCUUAUAGCUGCACGAGAUUGAGCAAUAACAGGUCAGUGAUGCCCUUAGAUGUCCUGGGCCGCACGCGUGCUACACUGAAAGAAUCAGCGUGUGUCUCCUAGGCUGAGAGGCCCGGGUAACCAGCUGAACCUCUUUCGUGCUAGGAAUUGGGGCUUGCAAUUGUUGCCCAUGAACGAGGAAUUCCCAGUAAGCGUGAGUCAUAAGCUUGCGUUGAUUACGUCCCUGCCCUUUGUACACACCGCCCGUCGCUACUACCGAUUGAAUGAUCUAGUGAGGUUCUCGGACUGGCGCUAAUCUUUGCUUGAUAUUUACUAUCGGUAUCGAUGAACGUUGGAAAGAUGACCGAAUUUGAUCAUUUAGAGGAAGUAAAAGUCGUAACAAGGUUUCCCUUGGCAAAUGCUUUCGCAAAAAGCUCGUAGUUGGUACUACUACAUUACUGCAACACUGUUGGUUCGCCGCCUGUUGGUGUGUGUUACUGGCAUGCUGUUGCUUGACCUGUCGGCUGAAAUAGAAACGGGAAACCUUUCAUGAAUGGUGUUGCGUUGAGGGGAGCCGACGUUUUGGAUUAAUCUUUUAAUCUAGCGCCGUCCUCCAGCCGGGCCUGUGUGGUUGUUGUUUACCCGAUUAUUCAUCCCAUUCUUUCGUGAGCUCUUGACUGAGUUUCGAUUGGUAUGGGGCCGACACGUCGACACUUUGAACAAAUUAGAGUGCUCAAAGCAAGCUCAAAUUUCUGCCUGAAUAAUGGUGCAUAGAAUAAGAGAAAAGGACCUUGUUCGUUCUAUUCUGUUGGUCUCCGGAACACAGGGUAAUGAUCAAUAAGGACUGUCGGGGGCAAUCGUAUUGCGGCGUUAGAGGUGAAAUUCUUGGAUCGUCGCAAGACGCUCAAAAGCGAAAGCAAUUGCCAAGUAUGUCUUAAUUGAUCAAGAACGAAAGUUAGAGGUUCGAAGGCGAUCAGAUACCGCCCUAGUUCUAACCAUAAACGAUGCCAGCCAGCGAUCCGCCGAUGUUCUUUCUUUAUGAUGACUCGUGCGGGAAGCUCCUCCCCGGGAAACCAAAGCUUUCGGGUUCUGGGGGGAGUAUGGUUGCAAAGCUGAAACUUAAAGGAAUUGACGGAAGGGCACCACCAGGAGUGGAGCCUGCGGCUUAAUUUGACUCAACACGGGAAACCUCACCAGGUCAGGACAUUGAAAGGAUUGACAGAUUGAUGGCUCUUUCUCGAUUCUGUGGGUAGUGGUGCAUGGCCGUUCUUAGUUGGUGGAACGAUUUGUCUGGUUAAUUCUGAUAACGAACGAGACUCUAGCCUAUUAACUAGGCAGUUACGGUAUUGUGAGCUACCGGUGAUAAUAUAUUCUUCUU
rnacentral:rRNA from 1 species